rfam:Capsicum annuum cultivar Zunla-1 chromosome 10, whole genome shotgun sequence
GGAGUAGAUUACAUCCAAGGAUGACUUGCCGAGAUAUAGUAGCCCAAUGCAACAACUUAUCGGCAGGUCAUCCUUGGCUAUAAUUUGUUCUCU